AUGGAAGGAGAUGAAAUUGUUCAAAAUCCAGGUGUUGGGCAAGUUGCUAGGAAAUAUAAAACCCUCAAUGACCAGCAAAAAUUUGCUGCUUAUGUAGCAAUGCAUACACUGUGUAUGAGUAGAGGAGGCACUUUUUUGGGAACUGAUAAGCAAGACAUUGCAAAAAAAUUUGGAGUGGGUGUUUGGAAUAUACAAAGAAUUUGGAGGAAAGCAAUGAAGCAAAUUAGCGAAGGUAAAGAGGUGGAUGUUUCUAAUAAAAAAAGGAAAUUCUGGAAGAAAGCCUAA
rnacentral:rRNA from 1 species